rnacentral:rRNA from 1 species
GCAGGGAAUAAUGGAAUAGGGCUUCGGUUCUAUUCGGUGGGUCUUCGGAUCGGAAGUAAUGAUUAAGAGGGACAGACGGGGGCAUUAGUAUUGCGGCGCUAGAGGUGAAAUUCUGGGACCGUCGCAAGACUAACAACAGCGAAAGCAUUUGCCAAGAAUGUUUUCAUUAAUCAAGAACGAAAGUUAGAGGUUCGAAGGCGAUCAGAUACCGCCCUAGUUCUAACCAUAAACGAUGCUAACCAGCGAUCAGACUGAGUACAUUCAAGGACUCGUCUGGGAACUUCCCGGGAAACCAAAGUUUUUGGGUUCCGGGGGAAGUAUGGUUGCAAAACUGAAACUUAAAGGAAUUGACGGAAGGGCACCACCAGGAGUGGAGCCUGCGGCUUAAUUUGACUCAACACGGGGAAACUCACCCGGCCCGGACACUACGAGGAUUGACAGAUUGAGAGCUCUUUCUUGAUGCAGUGGGUGGUGGUGCAUGGCCGUUCUUAGUUGGUGGAUCGAUUUGUCUGGUUAAUUCCGAUAACGAACGAGACUCUGACUUAUUAAAUAGGAUAACAUCUCCUUCGGGCGAUGUUAAACUUCUUAGAGGGACAGGCGGCGUUUCAGCCGCACGAGAAAGAGCAAUAACAGGUCUGUGAUGCCCUUAGAUGUCCGGGGCCGCACGCGCGCUACACUGAAGAGUGCAGCGUGCUUAGGUAUCCUGCUCCGAAAGGAGUGGGAAACCAUGGGAAACCUCUUCGUACUUGGGAUAGGGCAUUGAAGGAUACCCUUGAACGAG